GACGUAGGGGGCGAGCGUUGUCCGGAUUUAUUGGGCGUAAAGAGCGCGUAGGCGGCCCGUUAAGUCGGAUGUGAAAACCCGUGGCUCAACCACGGGCCUGCAUCCGAUACUGGCGGGCUCGAGGCAGGCAGGGGAGAUCGGAAUUCCUGGUGUAGCGGUGAAAUGCGCAGAUAUCAGGAGGAACACCGGUGGCGAAGGCGGGUCUCUGGGCCGAUACUGACGCUGAGGAGCGAAAGCGUGGGGAGCGAACAGG
rnacentral:rRNA from 1 species